rnacentral:rRNA from 1 species
GAGUUUGAUCCUGGCUCAGAUUGAACGCUGGCGGCAGGCCUAACACAUGCAAGUCGAACGGUAACAGGAAGCAGCUUGCUGCUUUGCUGACGAGUGGCGGACGGGUGAGUAAUGUCUGGGAAACUGCCUGAUGGAGGGGGAUAACUACUGGAAACGGUAGCUAAUACCGCAUAAUGUCGCAAGACCAAAGUGGGGGACCUUCGGGCCUCAUGCCAUCAGAUGUGCCCAGAUGGGAUUAGCUAGUAGGUGGGGUAACGGCUCACCUAGGCGACGAUCCCUAGCUGGUCUGAGAGGAUGACCAGCCACACUGGAACUGAGACACGGUCCAGACUCCUACGGGAGGCAGCAGUGGGGAAUAUUGCACAAUGGGCGCAAGCCUGAUGCAGCCAUGCCGCGUGUGUGAAGAAGGCCUUCGGGUUGUAAAGCACUUUCAGCGGGGAGGAAGGCGGUGAGGUUAAUAACCUCAUCGAUUGACGUUACCCGCAGAAGAAGCACCGGCUAACUCCGUGCCAGCAGCCGCGGUAAUACGGAGGGUGCAAGCGUUAAUCGGAAUUACUGGGCGUAAAGCGCACGCAGGCGGUCUGUCAAGUCGGAUGUGAAAUCACCGGGCUCAACCUGGGAACUGCAUUCGAAACUGGCAGGCUAGAGUCUUGUAGAGGGGGGUAGAAUUCCAGGUGUAGCGGUGAAAUGCGUAGAGAUCUGGAGGAAUACCGGUGGCGAAGGCGGCCCCCUGGACAAAGACUGACGCUCAGGUGCGAAAGCGUGGGGAGCAAACAGGAUUAGAUACCCUGGUAGUCCACGCUGUAAACGAUGUCGAUUUGGAGGUUGUGCCCUUGAGGCGUGGCUUCCGGAGCUAACGCGUUAAAUCGACCGCCUGGGGAGUACGGCCGCAAGGUUAAAACUCAAAUGAAUUGACGGGGGCCCGCACAAGCGGUGGAGCAUGUGGUUUAAUUCGAUGCAACGCGAAGAACCUUACCUGGUCUUGACAUCCACAGAACUUUCCAGAGAUGGAUUGGUGCCUUCGGGAACUGUGAGACAGGUGCUGCAUGGCUGUCGUCAGCUCGUGUUGUGAAAUGUUGGGUUAAGUCCCGCAACGAGCGCAACCCUUAUCCUUUGUUGCCAGCGGUUCGGCCGGGAACUCAAAGGAGACUGCCAGUGAUAAACUGGAGGAAGGUGGGGAUGACGUCAAGUCAUCAUGGCCCUUACGACCAGGGCUACACACGUGCUACAAUGGCAUAUACAAAGAGAAGCGACCUCGCGAGAGCAAGCGGACCUCAUAAAGUAUGUCGUAGUCCGGAUUGGAGUCUGCAACUCGACUCCAUGAAGUCGGAAUCGCUAGUAAUCGUAGAUCAGAAUGCUACGGUGAAUACGUUCCCGGGCCUUGUACACACCGCCCGUCACACCAUGGGAGUGGGUUGCAAAAGAAGUAGGUAGCUUAACCUUCGGGAGGGCGCUUACCACUUUGUGAUUCAUGACUGGGGUGAAGUCGUAACAAGGUAGCCGU